GAUGAACGCUAGCUACAGGCUUAACACAUGCAAGUCGAGGGGUAACGAGAGGGAAGCUUGCUUUCCUUGUCGACGACCGGCGGAUGGGUGAGUAACGCGUAUCCAACCUGCCCUUCAGUAAGGGAUAGCCUUUCGAAAGAAAGAAUAAUACCUUAUGUGAUCGUCUGAUGACAUCAGACGACGAUCAAAGAUUUAUCGCUGAAGGAUGGGGAUGCGUCCCAUUAGGCAGUAGGCGGGGUAACGGCCCACCUAACCUACGAUGGGUAGGGGGUCUGAGAGGAAGGUCCCCCACAUUGGAACUGAGACACGGUCCAAACUCCUACGGGAGGCAGCAGUGAGGAAUAUUGGUCAAUGGCCGUAAGGCUGAACCAGCCAAGUAGCGUGCAGGAUGACGGCCCUAUGGGUUGUAAACUGCUUUUAAACGGGGAUAAAGUGAGCCACGUGUGGUUUAUUGCAGGUACCGUUUGAAUAAGGACCGGCUAAUUCCGUGCCAGCCGCCGCAGUAAGAC
rnacentral:rRNA from 1 species